UUUCAUAGACUGAAUAUUUGAAGAUUGGAGACUGCCAUGAAGCCCUGCAUAAGUGGAACCUGGAAGUGGGAACCCAUAGGAAGAAAGCAUUUUCCACGAACUGUGUGUGGAUUCAGGCCCUAAACCAGAUGAUGAAAACUUGACUGUUACUACUAAGGUAAAGUGGUCUCUUGUAAAAUUUUCUCACUCAGUAAACUUUUGCAUAGUAUUUACUUUUUAAAAAUUUAGCAGUGGUUUCCCUGUUGCUAUUUUAUGAUGGUUAUGGAAAGUUGGUCAGAGAAAACCUUAGACAUAUGCAUUAGAAAAUGCUUUCCCCAAUAGAGAAAAUAUGAAAUUUGGUUAAGGUUUAAUUAGAUAAAUGUUAAUACUAUGACUUUUAAAUCAUACUAGUGUGACAUCUAUAUUUUUGCCAGUAUAAAUCUUCAGUGGAUCCAAUUACUUGUAAUCAUGGAAUCUCCCUGGAACCUUUUAGUUGGAAAA